rnacentral:misc_RNA from 1 species
UGGCUCUAGCAUCGAUGAAGAACGCAGCGAAACGCGAUAGGUAAUGCGAAUUGCAGAAUUCCGUGAGUCAUCGAAUCUUUGAACGCACAUUGCGCCCGCCGGUAUUCUGGCGGGCAUGCCUGUUCGAGCGUCAUUUCAACCCUCGGGCCUGUCCCGGUGUUGGGGCUCCGCUAUUCUGCGGACCCCGAAAAACAGUGGCGGAGCCUCCUAGCUCUCAGCGUAGUAAUUUUUCUCGUUGGGGACGACAGCGGUCGCUUGCCGUGAAACAACCACUAUUUUAAUUGUUUGACCUCGGAUCAGGUAGGAAUACCCGCUGA